rnacentral:rRNA from 1 species
GACGGAGGGUGCUAGCGUUGUUCGGAAUGACUGGGCGUAAAGGGCGCGUAGGCGGCCUGGUAAGUCGGGUGUGAAAGCCCGGGGCUCAACCCCGGAACGGCACCCGAUACUGCGGGUCUCGAGUCCGGGAGAGGUGAGUGGAAUUCCUAGUGUAGAGGUGAAAUUCGUAGAUAUUAGGAAGAACACCAGUGGCGAAGGCGGCUCACUGGCCCGGUACUGACGCUGAGGCGCGAAAGCGUGGGGAGCAAACAGG